GUCAUACCAUGCUGAAAACACAGGUUCUCGUCCGAUCACCGAAGUUAAACAUCAUCGGACACAGUCAGUACAUGGGAGGGUGACUACCUGGGAUCACCGUGUGCCGUU